rnacentral:rRNA from 1 species
UACGUAGGGUCCAAGCGUUAAUCGGAAUUACUGGGCGUAAAGCGUGCGCAGGCGGCUUUGCAAGUCAGACGUGAAAUCCCCGGGCUUAACCUGGGAAUGGCGCUUGAAACUACGGAGCUGGAGUGUGGCAGAGGGAGGUAGAAUUCCACGUGUAGCGGUGAAAUGCGUAGAUAUGUGGAGGAAUACCGAUGGCGAAGGCAGCCUCCUGGGCCAACACUGACGCUCAUGCACGAAAGCGUGGGGAGCAAACAGG